rnacentral:rRNA from 1 species
AUUGAACGCUAGCGGGAUGCUUUACACAUGCAAGUCGAACGGUAGCACGAAGAAAGCUUGCUUUCUUUGGUGACGAGUGGCGAACGGGUGAGUAAUGUAUCGGAACGUACCCAGUAGCGGGGGAUAACUACGCGAAAGCGUGGCUAAUACCGCAUACGCCCUACGGGGGAAAGGGGGGGAUCGCAAGACCUCUCACUAUUGGAGCGGCCGAUAUCGGAUUAGCUAGUUGGUGGGGUAAAGGCCCACCAAGGCGACGAUCCGUAGCUGGUUUGAGAGGACGACCAGCCACACUGGGACUGAGACACGGCCCAGAGUCCUACGGGAGGCAGCAGUGGGGAAUUUUGGACAAUGGGGGCAACCCUGAUCCAGCCAUCCCGCGUGUGCGAUGAAGGCCUUCGGGUUGUAAAGCACUUUUGGCAGAGAAGAAACGACUCUGGAUAAUACCCGGGGUUAAUGACGGUAUCUGCAGAAUAAGCACCGGCUAACUACGUGCCAGCAGCCGCUGUAA